AUUUGAAUAGCUCAGUGGUAGAGCAAUUGGACCAGAUCCAAUUUGUAGCAGGUUCGAUUCCUGUUUCAAAUC
rnacentral:tRNA from 1 species